GGAGCCAUCAAAGCUAUUGUUAGCAUCUGUUCCCUUGUUCUUGGAAAAAGCCACUUCUAAGGUGCUGUUGAAUUUUGGCAGAGGCUUACAGGAGUUGAGUGGUCUCUUGCCACGUCUUCUCUCCACUCAUUCAGACUAUGGACCUCUUUGUGGACUCAUAUCUCUUAUCUUCUGAUGAGGCAAUGAUCAGGACAUGGCAAAAUGAUAGAAAGGUCUCUCUAAGAGUCGAGAUUAUCUGCUGAAGACAUCUGUCUUAAUUCUGUGUUCCAAAUGGCCCUCCAUCAUCUGGCUUUGCAUGUUACUAUUUGUUAUAGAAAUGUGACCUCCACAACUGAUAUGAAGCUGUCUAAACCCCUGUGGAAAUCUUCAUCUGUGCUGUGUGGCCUUCCUGGCUUUCAUCUCCUCCUCACACACUGACUCACAGCCACACUCCAUAAGAUACCUUAAACCUUUGAAGGACAGCGGUGUGUGAGAUAAAGGUCAGUGUUUGGGUGUUAGACAGAGUCAAGCUCACUUUGCUCCUUCUGACGGUGCAAGACGUUGUGAAUCCGUCCGUCUUUGUUCUACUGCUGCAAAGCUGUGCGGAAUGAUGGGAGUGAUGAGCAAAUACUUGUAACCCCCCGUUGGAGCCUACAGGUGGAUGCUGGGCCUACAGGUGGAUGCUGGGGUGGUGGAGGGACUGAAGCAACAGUUACUUUGGAGACAAAGGGGACUACAGCACAACAGAUCUCGAUGCUCGUAGGUGGCCAUCAGUGGGUUUUACUCCUCAUCCAGCCCUUUCUGUGAUGAAGAAUGAAAAGAGAAUAGACAAAGAUAUGGAUUAUACACAGAAGACAAACAAGGUAUCAAUGAGUAAAAUAAGUGGUUUAAUAAACCACAACUACAUUUUGGAAUUUGAAUUUGUAGAAUUGUAAAAAUUUAAACAGUGUAGGACUAAAUGUAUUUAGAGAAAAGCUAAGAUUAUAUCAUGCAUAAAAAAUGUAUAUGAAAGCUGAAUAGCCAAGCAAAUUUUUAGUGUUUCAAGUCAAAGACAUUUGUUUUUGUUUGUUUGUUUAAUUUGUGAAUGAAAGAGAUGAUUAUAAGUCUGCAUUUUGUUUAAAAAGAGAUUCAUCUUUUAAAUAGAUACUUGACAAAAAUGCAGCUAUGUGUCCAUGAGAGCUAUUGAUAGCCAAUAAUUGUAUACUCUUGUGGACAGCUCCCAAGGGGAACAUACUGUAUAUAUACAAAAUCAAGAUCAUCGAUCAUUCAAAGCUUUGUAUGAUAUCUUUAUUUGGAAGUAUUAUUUUGUUAACAUUGAUAUGAUUAGAUAAAUAUGCUGUUACUGCUUUAACAACAAAAUCUGUCGGAUGAAAUUAGUAAAAAUUGAAGGUGUCUUGUGUCAUUGGGCUAAGGGGGUCCCCAUGAAUAAUUCGAGGACAUAUUCUUUGCAUUCAUUUCUCUCUUGGAUCUUAUUCAGGUCACUAACGAAACACUAAAGUUAUCAUGAUGCCUCCCCUGUGACAAAAGACUAUAGCCCCGCUAGCUUACUAGAGUAGACUAAAACAUUUCAUCCACACAACACCCAUAAUAAAAUCGAUUUGUACAAAGCCUGGUUUGAUUUAUUUACUCACAAUAAAAAAGAUGAAUAGUUCUAUCAUUGAUACAUAAUAAAAAAAACUUCACAUUGUAUUUUAAAGGAGGCAGGAUGGUUCUCUAUAUGUACAGUGUUGGAUAGAGGAGAAUAGAGGAGCUUCUUACCUUUGAA